rnacentral:rRNA from 1 species
CGCGAACGUUGGCGGCGUGCCUAACACAUGCAAGUCGUGGGGCAGCAGGCUACUGUCUUUUGGCAGUAGUGCUGGCGACCGGCAAACGGGUGAGUAACACGUAGCUUACCUACCCAUAGGUUGGGGAUAACAUUCCGAAAGGGGUGCUAAUACCCAAUAAUGAGGAGACUCCAAAGCCCUUAUGGGCGCCUAUGGAUGGGGCUGCGUCCCAUCAGCUAGUUGGUGAGGUAAUGGCUCACCAAGGCUACGACGGGUAACCGGUCUGAGAGGAUGACCGGUCACAGUGGGACUGAGACACGGCCCGCACCCCUACGGGGGGCAGCAGUGGGGAAUAUUGGGCAAUGGCCGAAAGGCUGACCCAGCAACGCCGCGUGGUGGAUGAAGCCCUUCGGGGUGUAAACACCUUUUCUGGGGGAAGAUAAUGACGGUACCCCAGGAAUAAGGGACGGCUAACUACGUGCCAGCAGCCGCGGUAAUACGUAG